rnacentral:lncRNA from 1 species
CGUAGGCACUCCUGUCCUUCAUGCCCUCGAUGGCCAUGAGGACCACAUCUCUCUGCUCAGCCUCCUCACAGGCCUCCACGGAGCAGCUCGGGGGUCGCUCCUCCUCCUCGACCCAGGUCCUCAUGGAGAAGCUGGGGCAUCUGUCCCCAUCCUCAGCCCAAGCCUCCUUGGGGUGGCUGGGGGGUCGGUCCUCCUCCUCGACCCAGGCCUCCUUGGGGCGGCUGGGGGGACGUUUCUCAUCCUCACCCCACACCACCGCAGGGGGACUGGGGGGUCUCUCCGCCAUGUCGGGGCCCCAGAACAAAACUGAUAUCCUUAACUGCACCUUUCCUAUCACACAGAGGACAUUGACUGUCCAUAUGCUACUGAAUUGGAGUAGAAAAACUGGAGGGGGUACAGUUGAAAUGCAAAUCCAUUCCUAUCAAAAUACAUUCUCAGUCAGCACAUGCUGGUAUUCCAGAAGGGAAAACCCAAGGCGACAAAAAAUGCCUGCGUCCCCCAGUCCAGCUUUUAGCCAGAGGCACAUUUCAUGCUGAUCCUUCAGUCGCAACUCGCCAGCAUCGGUCUCCCAGCACACACAAAGCACAACCUAGCCUUCUCCUGCCGACAUCCAGGGGUAACUACAAACAGGGUGAACAUGGGCUGUGGAAGCUCUGGGGGAAGGAGUGGCCCCGGCAGGGCAAGGUCAUUCCCCAUGCAGAGGGGCUGCGUGGGG